UUAUUUGCUACUCUCGACAAGAUGGAUGACGAUACUUCCAACCCACCAGUUGAAUUAUCUGAGGCACAGACAACUUGAUGCAUGCGUGUUUUUAAGAUGUUUUGAGUGCUCAUUUUAUUGUGUUCCUGCAGGUGUGCUUACAUUGGUUGGAGUAACUUUUCGGUGACAUCAGAACAGGUGGUCUCCUAUUCUUGGAUCUAGUGCAUUUUCUUGGACCAGUUGCUGAAACAAGACGGGCAGUACAAAAGGCCACGUGAAGACCUUUUGGCUGGAUCGCUGUAAAAAUGAAGGUGGACAUUGGAUGGUCUCGGGAUGGCCAGAGACAUGAAGAGACUGGAGCGAAAAGAGGUGUGCUUACGUUGGUUGGAGUAACUUUUCGGUGACAUCAGAACAGGUGGUCUCCUAUUCUUGGAUCUAGUGCAUUUUCUUGGACCAGUUGCUGAAACAAGACUGGCAGUACAAAAGGCCACGUGAAGACAUGUGAAACCUUGCUGCAGAGAAUGUUAACAGCCAUCCUUGUGUUGAUUGUGACUUCAUGGAACACGAAGUCUUCAGUUGACAUUGCCUUUUGGAGGCUGGUUUCAUCAAGGAUGAGGAAGAGCUGGAUCCGUAGGCUGACUUGAAUGCAGCAGUGAAGCCUCUUUGGCCCAGAGAAGCAAGCCUACAUGGAAGUUUUUGCUCUAAAAUUGUUCUUUUGGAUGGUGACCUGAGAGCCAAUGGACAACACUAAUGUAUAAAGACUAAUGUGUUGCAAGAUGUCGCAAUAAAUACUAAAACAAAUGCUGUGCCUG